AUCCAAGGUGAGUCUCUCUCCAAGGGGCUGACUAGUGCCUCUCUUAGGACAGUAGCAAGUUGGAAUAAAAUCUGGCAUGCCUAAGGUCUUUAAGGAACAGGGGAUGCUUACUUCUUUUGCGUUCCUCUGGCGGCCUACAUAG
rnacentral:snoRNA from 10 species